rnacentral:rRNA from 1 species
AUACGUAGGGUGCGAGCGUUAAUCGGAAUUACUGGGCGUAAAGCGUGCGCAGGCGGUUUUGUAAGACAGAGGUGAAAUCCCCGGGCUCAACCUGGGGACUGCCUUUGUGACUGCAAGGCUAGAGUACGGCAGAGGGGGGUGGAAUUCCGCGUGUAGGCGGGAAAUGCGUAGAUAUGCGGAGGAACACCGAUGGCGAAGGCAAUCCCCUGGGCCUGUACUGACGCUCAUGCACGAAAGCGUGGGGAGCAAACAGGAUUAGAUACCCUGGUAGUCCACGCCCUAAACGAUGUCAACUGGUUGUUGGGUCUUCAUUGACUCAGUAACGAAGCUAACGCGUGAAGUUGACCGCCUGGGGAGUACGGCCGCAAGGUUGAAACUUAAAGGAAUUGACGGGG